rnacentral:rRNA from 1 species
UACGAAGGUGGCAAGCGUUGUUCGGAUUUACUGGGCGUACAGGGCGCGUAGGCGGUGGGAUAAGCCCUCCGUGAAAUCUCCAGGCUUAACCUGGAAAGUGCAGAGGGGACUGUUCAGCUAGAGGAUGGGAGAGGAGCGCGGAAUUCCCGGUGUAGCGGUGAAAUGCGUAGAGAUCGGGAGGAAGGCCGGUGGCGAAGGCGGCGCUCUGGAACAUUUCUGACGCUGAGGCUCGAAAGCGUGGGGAGCAAACAGG